AGAGUUUGAUCCUGGCUCAGGAUGAACGCUGGCGGUCUGCUUAACACAUGCAAGUCGAACGGAGUAGAAAUACUUAGUGGCGGACGGGUGAGUAACGCGUGAGAAUCUGCCUUCAGGACGGAGACAACAGUUGGAAACGACUGCUAAGCCCCGAUGAACCGAAAGGGAAAAUAUUUAUAGCCUGAAGAUGAGCUCGCGUCUGAUUAGUUAGUUGGCGGGGUAAUGGCCUACCAAGGCGUUGACGGGUAGCUGGUCUGAGAGGAUGUCCAGCCGGAUUGGGACUGAGAUACGGCCCAGACUCCUACGGGGGGCAGCAAUUAGGAAUCUUGCGCAAUGGGCGAAAGCCUGACGCAGCGACGCCGCGUGGGGGAAGAAGGCUUUUGGGUUGUAAACCCCUUUUCUCUGGGAAGAAAGUUGUGAAAGCAACCUGACGGUACCAGAGGAAUCAGCAUCGGCUAACUCCGUGCCAGCAGCCGCGGUAAGACGGAGGAUGCAAGCGUUAUCCGGAAUGAUUGGGCGUAAAGCGUCCGCAGGUGGCAGUUCAAGUCUGCUGUCAAAGACCGGGGCUUAACUUCGGAAAGGCAGUGGAAACUGAACAGCUAGAGUAUGGUAGGGGCAGAGGGAAUUCCUGGUGUAGCGGUGAAAUGCGUAGAGAUCAGGAAGAACAUCGGUGGCGAAGGCGCUCUGCUGGACCAUAACUGACACUCAGGGACGAAAGCUAGGGGAGCGAAUGGGAUUAGAUACCCCCGUAGUCC
rnacentral:rRNA from 1 species